AGCAAGGGCAGCAGCAAUGCAAGCUUCCCCACAUUGUCCUGCCAAUGUUCCUCAACCCAGUUCGGAAGAGGUCACUUCUGGAGGCAGCUGUGUGGUGGUUUUCCAAGAGACCCUGGGGCCCCAGUGAUGACCCCAGCAACCUAAGAUAACCUGGAGAACCAUGCUGAUUACAAAGAUCUUUCUGCUUAUGACAAGAGUGGAAUAUCAUUUCUGUUCUUUCAAAUUAGAUGAUCCUGCUACAAAUAGAAAAAUCCUACCGUUCUGUUAUCUUUUGCUCCAUCUUCCCCAUUCCCCCCCAUUUUAAGGUACGCUUUGUGAUAAUAGAGGAGUGCUGUGUACCACGAUUGAUUGAUGUGACUGUCAAAGAUGUUUAACUCCUCUGUGAAUCGCUGGUGCAAUACAGUUUUGUAGUAACUAUGAAAUAAAAAGUUAAGUACAGAAAUCGGCUCCUUAGUCAUGUCUUUAAAGGAAUUCUUUCUGUUACAUAAUCCCAUGCCCCUGCCCUCCAUGUUUGAGUUAGUUCAGUUGAGUGAGCAGAAAUCACGAUAGGUAAUGUGUGUUUUCAGGUCGUAAUCACCUUCCUCAGGUGGUUUUAUGAACAUUAC